GACCAACACCUCACGAGGCUUCUUCUCUCUACGCUGAGACCUUGAAACUGAUAUAUCUUUCUUUUGUUCUCAAAACACGGUCAUUCGUUCUCAAAACACGGUCUGGGCGUACUGCAAAAUUGCAGCUACUGAUAGGUGUGAUUUGUACAGUCAGCCACUUGCAUGAACACAGAAAUUGGUUAAUAGAAUAGCACAUGAAAAGAACACAGAAAUUAGUUAUAAGAAUAUUAUUAGUUAUAAGAAUAGAACAAACAUGAACAUUUCCCUUACAUUCCCUCUGCUUAUCACUCGGUUUGAUAAUAGUCAUUCAAUUUAGAUUUUAGCUUCUAUAUCAAAAUAUUCUACACUCCAUUAAAGUAAAGGAAAUCAACACAGAAAAAAAACAGACAUAAUUUAUAACACUUCAUUCUGGGUUGUACAAUCCACGUAGUAGGGUAAUACUAUACUCAUAAUAAAGGUUAUACUUUAUUAAUAGGAGUGAGUAUCAAAAAUACACAACAGAUCUGUAGAUUCAGAAGUGAAUAAAUCUCUCGAUGUUAACUAUUGUUUCCAUAUUUCUCGGGUUGCAUUAACCUAUGUUUUCAGUAACUGUCCCUGAGACAUCCACCUAGUCAAAUAGAAAACCCAGUUGUUUAACAAUUCUGCUAAGACCUUCAAAAGGUUGGUGCUGGGUCAUCAGCUCAGUGUUCCACAUAAUGUAAACAGGUUAAGGGUUUAGAUGACCUUACCCUCAAUUUAUUAAAAGAAAACAAACUUCAAUCUAACUGUUUCACCAUCCUCUGGAGGAGUAGAAAACAAAAUAGCUGCUGAAAUCUUAUCAGCUAGAGAGGCACAUCGCCUUACAGCAUGUUAAUAACAUUUCACAGGGAAGAGAAAGGGAACACGUUAUAACAGUUUCACACCAAACUUGCUAAGAAUGAGAUUGUUGCAAGGUUAGCGCAAGCUACAAUCUAGUGUCUCUCCUCUAACUAUACGGUGCCCCGUAUAGCUGAAUUGGGCACCUUCUAACGUAAACACUUGUAAUCUUAAUCUUUUUGACCUUUUGCAUUGACAUACAAUUCUGUGCGAACUGUCCCAAAUUUCCCCACUGUGUCUCUCACAGCCUGUUUGAGUUCAGUGUGUACUGGCGGCGAUCUAUUGUUCCACAGGAAGGUUAUCUCUAAUCCAAACAACAGAUGACAUAAACAAGAGAGCAGUAGACCAGGCCUUGAAGAGUGAGCAGCCUCUAAUUUAAUAUCAGUCCCAAUGCUCAAUCCCUCUGUCUUACUCCUUCAAAUGUCUAAGAUAUUGUAUUAUUAGAUUGUUAUCUGAAAGCCAAUUAUCAUUCACUUUGUUACAUUCACUAGUCUCCAUAAUCUGUUUCCUUCAACUAAAACCCUUCUACUCUUUCCAGUAGAAAAAAAAACAUUCUCAAUCAAUACUCCUAAUACGCACGGAUCACUCUCAAACCACAUUUGGCUUUUUUUCCCUACUGCAAGGUUUAAAACAAAACAAAGCAAAAAUGAUAGCUGUCUCCAUAUUGUAAAGCAUUGUUUUCAUUUUAGUACACCUUCAAAAAGUUACUCAAUAUUUUUAUUACCAAUCUCUGUUGGAUAUUCUUCAAUAUUUAUGAAAUGUUUAUUAUUUUAAGAUUCAUAUGUAAUGCUUUGGAGGGAUCAAUAUGUAUUAACUGGGUUGGCACUGACUCAUCCACAGCAGAUGUUGCACUCGGUCCAUAAUAAGUCUGGCACAUGAACAUAACACAGAAAUGAGUUGUAAGAAUAUUAGUAGUUCUAAGAAUAGCACAAACAUAAAAAUGUCCCUUACAACAUGUUACCCUUAUAAUGACUACCCUUGACGGUGACUUGAAACUAUGUCUUCCGGUUGCUCAUCACAUAAGUACGUAUCACCAAACAGCGCUCUUUUGAUGAAUAACCCUGCUGGAUCUUGAGGACUGUUAAUGUAGCAGAUGGGGAUCUGUGAAACUCCCUCCUUAGACUGAAGUGUCCCCCCUUACGCAAUUGCAGAAGGCCUUUUUAAAUAGCACGAUGCGUUGGAAUACUUCAGCAGGGCAGUCACGUGUUUUCAAGGCAGAAGUCCUGAGUUUGAGUCUCCGUUUGAGCUGAAGCAGGGGGAGCGGUACUCUAUAAGCAGGCAGUGUGAUGUCCUUUACAAUGGUGCCACUGGACUCGGAUCUACAACUGCGCUCAGCUCAACCCCUGGAACUGCUGUGGAGUGAGUUUGGGGGGGUGAAUGUAGAAGAUGGGAUCUGUGAAAAUCAUCAGCCUGAACUGUCGCCCCUUAUGCAAUUGACGAAGGCCUUUUUCAACAGCGCGGUGGGUUGGAUCUCUUCAGGAGGGCGGUCAGCCGUGUGUUUGCGAGGCAGAUGUCCUGAGUUCGAGCCUCGAUAUGAGCUGAAUCAGGGGGAAGCGUGACUCGAUAAUCAAGCAGCAUGUCGUCCUUUACAUGAACUUCCUGAACUUAUCCUUAUAGGCUUUAGCUAAGUGGGCUAACACAAUCUUGUGACAUGCAGGAGACCUGGUUCCAAUCCAGUCAGUUCAAAUAUUAAAUAGGGAGUGGAAAGGCUACGUAAUUUUUUUUGUGACACUCCCUUCCAACCUGUCCUGCGUGACCUGUGAUCAUCUUAGCGGGGAACAGAAGGAAUGUCCGCGUUCUAGAGAGUCGUAGCAUUCAGGAAUGGGGCAGAGCAGGCAACAGAUGGCACACAGACAGCAGAGUUGGGGACAGAUAUGCAGGGACAGACUGGCAGAGACAGGGAGUCUCAGUGAACCCAUCGAGGAGCAGUGUAGCAGAAUAAACGGCUGUAACUCCAACUAAUGUCCUUGAGCUGCUCGGAGAGAGACCUCUGGUCUAUAAACAUGGGAUCCACGGCAGCUCACAAGGAAAGCACGCCGCAGUGCGAAGGAAACCUGUCAACUAAAAUCAAGACGUUGCAUUCCCAGCUCCUGUUCCAGCUGUAUAGCACCACAGAAUGGAAUGCCCUUUAAAGUUCCACUAGAUUCUGUUGAUUGGGAAAGUAAGAAGGGAAAAUUACAUGCUAUGAUUUCAGGCCAUAUGGUGAAUAUGAUUUGCUGUUAAAUUUCCGAUAUUUUGUUUAGCCAAUUUUAAGUUAGUAGUCUUGGUAGAGCAUGGCACUUGCAAUGGCAGGGUGGUGGGCUCCAUUCCCACGGGGAACCAUUAUGAAAAUGUAUGCGCUCUGGAUAAGAGUGUCUGCUAAAUAACGUACAUUUAAAAUGUAGUUCAUGAAUGGUACUCUUAGACCUACGAUUGAUUGAGAGAUAGGUGUGUGAGUACCCUCACCAAGGCUUACAUGUACCCACUGAAAAUGUCUGGGGAGUUCAGCACACAGUGUAAGGAUAUGCAGCUUGGGAGCUUUGUUGACUUUGUCACACUGCAGUAUGACAGAAAUGGCCUACAAUUCACAUGGAGGAGGCUGGUGGGAGGAGCUAUAGGUGGACAGGCUCAUUGUAAUGGCUGGAAUGGAAUCAAUGGAACGGAGUCAUUACAUUCCAGCAAUUACAAUGAGCCAGUCCUCCUAUAGCUCCUCCCACCAGCCUCCUCUGAAUUCACAGUAUUCAUUGAAAAAUCUGUGACCAUAUUUCCCCCAGCAAAUGUUUUAAAAUCUUAAAUGUUCUACAAUCAUAACCAUACAAAGCCUACAUGCCUGUAUGUAAUAACUAUAAUCACUAAUAUCCUUUCCCACAAUUCUUUCAGUUCAGCAUAAAUACCACUCACUGAUAAAGAGGCAUUACCCCUCUCUGAGGGUGUCUCAGGGGGAGUGGGAUAUGCUAGACACAUAUUUCCAUUUCACACCACACACUUGUACAGGUUACAUAUUUGUACAUGUUGUCACACCCUAAUCUGUUUCACCUGUCUUGUGCUUGUCUCCAGGUGUCUCCGAUUUUCCCCCAUUAUCCCCUGUGUACUUGUCUUUUCAAGUCUUACCAGCUUGUUUUCACGUUUUCCAGUAUCUCUAGUUUAUGUUUUCAAGUCUUCCCAGUUCUGAUCAUUCUGCCUGCCCUGAGCCUUCCUGCCGUUCUGCCCUUGAUAAACGCUGCCUUGGAUUACUGACCACUGCCUGCCCUUGACCUGCCAUUUGCCUGCCCCCUGUUUUGUAAUAAACAUCUGAGAUUCUAAAUGUCUGCUGCCUGUGUUUGCAUCUGGGUCUUAUUCUGUGUUGUGUUAGCAUGACUGACCCAGCAGACUCGGACCAGCUCCGCAACACUGUCACCAUCGGAAGACACGAGGAGUUACUUAGAAAUCUUAUGGAAGCAUUCCAGAUCUUAGUAGCGCGUUUGGGUAGUGGCUGGUUACAGUACUGUGAGACUCAGGUGCGUGCCCGCGUCGACCGAAUGCUUUGUUUUCUUUCCUCUGUUUACCUAAAUGCAGAUUCCCGGUCGGAAUAUUAUCGCUUUUUUACGAGAAAAAUGGCAUAAAUAUUGAUUUUAAACAGCGGUUGACAUGCUUCGAAGUACAGUAAUGGAAUAUUUAGAAAUCUUUUGUCACGAAUUGCGCCAUGCUCGUAACCCUUAUUUACACUUCGGAUAGUGUCUAGAACGCACGAACAAAACGCCGCUAUUUGGAUAUAACGAUGGAUUAUUUUGGACCAAACCAACAUUUGUUAUUGAAGUAGCUGUCCUGGGAGUGCAUUCUGACGAAGACAACAAAGGUAAUCAAACUUUUGUAAUAGUAAAUCGGAGUUUGGUCAGGGCUAAACUUGGUCGGUGUCUAAAUGGCUAGCCGUGAUGGCUGGGCUAUCUACUGAGAAUAUUGCAAAAUGUGCUUUCACCGAAAAGCUAUUUUAAAAUCGGACAUAUCGAGUGCAUAGAGGAGUUCUGUAUCUAUAAUUCUUAAAAUAAUUGUUAUGUUUUUUGUGAACGUUUAUCGUGAGUAAUUUAGUAAAUUCACCGGAUGUUUGCGGGGGGUAUGCUAGUCCUGAACGUCACAUGCUAAUGUAAAAAAGCUGGUUUUUGAUAUAAAUAUGAACUUGAUUGAACAAAACAUGCAUACAUUGUAUAACAUAAUGUCCUAGGUGUGUCAUCUGAUGAAGAUCAUCAAAUGUUAGUGCUGCAUUUAGCUGUGGUUUUGUUUUUUGUGACAUUAUAUGCUAGCUUGAAAAAUGGGUGUCUGAUUAUUUCUGGCUGGGUACUCUGCUGACAUAAUAUAAUGUUUUGCUUUCGCUGUAAAGCCUUUUUGAAAUCGGACAGUGUGGUUAGAUUAACCUGUUAUGGCUAGGGGGCAGUAUUUUCACGGCUGGAUAAAAAACGUACCCGAUUUAAUCUGGUUACUACUCCUGCCCAGUAACUAGAAUAUGCAUAUAAUUAUUGGCUUUGGAUAGAAAACACCCUAAAGUUUCUAAAACUGUUUGAAUGAUGUCUGUGAGUUAACAGAACUCAUAUGGCAGGCAAAAACCUUAGAAGAUUUCAUGCAGGAAGUGGCCUGUCUGACAAGGUGUCGUUCUUCUUGUCUCUGUUUAUUGAAGAGUGAGGAUCUUAGCUGUCCCGUGACACUUCCUACGGCUGCCAUAGGGUCUCAGAAGGCGGUAAAAAGCUGAAUCGUGGCUUUGCAGGCUCUGGCUGAAAAAAAGUAGCGCGUUUGGGUAGUGGCUGGUUACAGUACUGUGAGACUCAGGCUCGUGCCCGCGUCGACCGAAAGCUUUGUUUACUUUCCUCUGUUUAGCUAAAUGGACAUUCCCGGUCGGAAUAUUAUCGCUUUUUUACGAGAAAAAUGGCAUAAAAAUGGAUUUUAAACAGCGGUUGACAUGCUUCGAAGUACGGUAAUGGAAUAUUUAGAUUUUUUUUGUCACGAAUUGCGCCAUGCGCACGACCCUUAUUUACCAUUUAGGAUAGUGUCUGGGACGCACGAACAAAACGCCGCUAUUCGGAUAUAACGAUGGAUUAUUUUGGACCAAACCAACAUUUGUUAUUGAAGUAGAAGUCCUGGGAGUGCAUUCUGACGAAGACAACAAAAGGUAAUCUAACUUUUAUAAUAGUAAAUCUGAUAUUGGUGAGUGCUAAACUUGCCGGGUGUCUAAAUAGCUACCCCGUGAUGGCUGGGCAAUGUACUUAGAAUAUUGCAAAAUGUGCUUUCACCAAAAAGCUAUUUUAAAAUCGGACAUAUCGAGUGCAUAGAGGAGUUCUGUAUCUAUAAUUCUUAAAAUAAUUGUUAUGCUUUUUGUGAACGUUUAUCGUGAGAAAUUUAGUAAAUUGUUAGCAAAUUCCUCCGGAAGUUUGCGGGGGGGUAUGCUAGUUCUGAACGUCACAUGCUAAUGUAAAAAGCUGUUUUUUGAUAUUAAUAUGAACUUGAUUGAACAAAACAUGCAUGUAUUGUAUAACAUAAUGUCCUAGGUGUGUCAUCUGAUGAAGAUCAUCAAAGGUUAGUGCUGCAUUUAGCUGUCUUCUGGGUUUUUGUGACAUUAUAUGCUAGCUUGAAAAACGGGUGUCUGAUUAUUUCUGGCUUGGUACUCUGCUGACAUAAUCUAAUGUUUUGCUUUCGCUGUAAAGCCUUUUUGAAAUCGGACAGUGUGGUUAGAUAAAGGAGAGUCUUGUCUUUAAAAUGCUGUGAAAUAGUCAUAUGUUUGAAAAAUUGAAGUUUUUGUAUUUUUGAGGAAUUUGUAAUUCGCGCCACGCCUAUCAUUGGAUAUUGGAGCAGGUGUUCCGCUAGCGGAACGUCUAGAUGUAAGAGGUUAACGAGAGUCUUGUCUUUAAAAUGCUGUAAAAUAGUAAUAUGUUUGAAAAAUUGAAGUUUUCGGAUUUUAGAGGAGUUUGUAUUUCGCGCCACGCCCAUCAUUGGAUAUUGGAGCAGGUGUUCCGCUAGCGGAACGUCUAGAUGUAAGAGGUUUAAAGAAGAGCUCUCAGCCCAGUAGCUGCCCCAUGCAUUUCGAUUCUCAUUGCCUUGACCAUACGGAUCGAUGGGCGUCUACGGGAAUGUAGGAGGGAGAGGAGGUCUGUUCCCAGUCACACUCGCUCGUCCAAGGAUCCCACCUCGCCUCCGAGGAAUCCCGGAAGUCCCCAGCAUCUACAUUACCGAGAUAAUCCGAGGUUCCCCAAGUUCCCCCGACUCGCCUCCUCCGGAGCCUAUGGAACUUGGCAGAGCUAGAUUGCCUCCUGUCGAACGUUUAUGCUGACUGGACAACAAGAGCUGUCUGUAUUGUGGAACUACAGGUCAUUACAUUUCUACCUGUCCAUUAAAAGACCAGGCUCAUCAGUAGGUACAAGUACGCUGGUGGGCAAUGGGGAGAUUUCCAAUUUCCCAUUACGCGUACCCCUCUCCAUGCCAUCCAGCUGUGGGGUGACAGGUCAAAAUCUCUCCGGGUACUCAUUGACUCUGGGGCUGACAAGAGUUUUAUGGACACUACCUGGUGUCAGAGAUGGGAAUACCAACUCAACCCCUCUUCAUUCUCAUGGACGUCAGAGCGCUGGAUGGGCGCUCUAUUGGCAGUGUCACCCACAAUACGGUUCCUAUCAACAUGCGAGUGUCAGGGAACCACUGUGAGUCUAUGCAGUUUUUGUUCAUCGAAUCUCCUCAGGUACCCGUGGUUUUGAGGUUUUCAUGGUGGAAAGGUACAUCUGCCUCCCCCGCCGUGUAUCCACUACUGUGGCCUUAACUGGAUGUUUGUCCCAGACUCUUCUUGGUUCCCCGGUCCUGGAAUGGGCUCAUUCCUCUUGACUUGCCUAUCAUCCUGGCUUCCGUCAGACCCUGGCCCUUGUACAACAACAUUGUUGGGGGCCCACCAUGGUUUCUGAUGUUUCCGCAUUCAUCGCCGCCUGCACUGUGUGUGCUCAGAAUAAGACUUCGCAGCAAGCUACGGCUGGCCUCCUUCAACCACUCCCUGUUCCUCACCGUCCCUGGUCCCAUAUAUCACCCUCCCAUAUAUCACCCUCAAACAGUUGGCAAGACCACUAUCCCUAUGGUGGUGGAUAGGUUUUCCAAAGCCGCCAAUUUCAUUCCCCUUCCCAAGUUGCCCUUAGCCAAGGAGAUUCUUAGCCCCUUUGCUGUUCUUCUGUUGCCACACACCCUUCGUAUACAUUCCACUUUUCAUGUGUCUAGGAUUAAACCUAUGUCUCACAG
rnacentral:lncRNA from 1 species